rnacentral:rRNA from 1 species
GGACUACACGGGUUUCUAAUCCUGUUCGCUCCCCUAGCUUUCGCACCUCAGCGUCAGUUACUCGCCAGGACACUGCCUUCGCCUUUGGUAUUCCUCCGGAUAUCUACGCAUUUCACCACUCCACCCGGAAUUCUAUGUCCCUCUCGAGUCCUCAAGUCCGACAGUCUUUGAAGGCCUUGCCCAGUUGAGCCGGGCAUUGUCACUCCAAACUUACCAGACCGCCUGCGUGCCCUUUACGCCCAGUAACUCCGGACAACGCUCGCCCCCUACGUAUUACCGCGGCUGCUGGCAC